rnacentral:rRNA from 1 species
UACAGAGACUGCAAGCGUUAUUCGGAUUUACUGGGCGUAAAGGGCGCGUAGGCGGCGUGGUAAGUCACUUGUGAAAUCUCUGAGCUUAACUCAGAACGGUCAAGUGAUACUGCUGUGCUAGAGUGCGGAAGGGGCAAUCGGAAUUCUUGGUGUAGCGGUGAAAUGCGUAGAUAUCAAGAGGAACACCUGAGGUGAAGACGGGUUGCUGGGCCGACACUGACGCUGAUGCGCGAAAGCCAGGGGAGCAAACGGG